rnacentral:rRNA from 1 species
GGACGAAAGUCUGACGGAGCAACGCCGCGUGAGUGAUGAAGGCUUUCGGGUCGUAAAACUCUGUUGUUAGGGAAGAACAAGUGCUAGUUGAAUAAGCUGGCACCUUGACGGUACCUAACCAGAAAGCCACGGCUAACUACAAAAAAAAAAAAA